rnacentral:rRNA from 1 species
UACAGGGGAUGCAAACGUUGCUCGGAAUCAUUGGGCGUAAAGCGCACGUAGGCGGUUCGUUAUGUCGGAUGUGAAAGCCCUUGGCUUAACCGAGGAAGUGCAUCCGAAACUGGCGAGCUAGAGUACUAAAGAGGAUCGCGGAAUUCCCGGUGUAGAGGUGAAAUUCGUAGAUAUCGGGAGGAACACCGGUGGCGAAGGCGGCGAUCUGGGUAGAUACUGACGCUGAGGUGCGAAAGCGUGGGGAGCGAACAGG